rnacentral:rRNA from 1 species
GAAGUUGGAUUCGCUAGUAAUCGCGCAUCAGCCAUGGCGCGGUGAAUACGUUCCCGGGCCUUGUACACACCGCCCGUCAAGCCAUGGGAGCCGGGGGCGCCUGAAGUCCGGGACCGGCGAGGACCGGCCUAGGGCGAAACUGGUGACUGGGGCUAAGUCGUAACAAGGUACC